CUGGCUCACAGAGUUUUUUGUUUUACCCCUCAGAGCCUGGCUCACGGUGCGUUUGUUUCCCCCCAGGCUGAGGGAGCUGCGGGCUGGGCUGUGCAGUGACAGGAAUGGCUGCCUCCAGGUGACACGUACGGAGUUUGGGGGGACAAAACUCCCUAGUGUUGCUUGUUUUGCUGUUUUGAAAGUGCGAAAUGGUAGAGACUGGAGCUUAUCACAUCAGUGUCGGGCUGGACGCUGCCUUCAUCAGAGCUCGGAUCUGCUCUGAAGUCCUGGAGUGGAAUCCUGUCCAGCGGGAGUGCUGCGGUUCGAUUAGGGAACACCCUAGCAAGUGAGCCCUGCCCAUGGAUUGCCACCCCCAGUGCCAGGAGGGAAACUUCAGCUGACUUCUGCCUUUAAGAAGAAUUAUUCUUUGAGGAGCUCAGGGACAUUUCCAUGUCAACUGCUCUUGUACUUAUGGGGGAAUUCGACUUGCCAGAAAUCAAUUGGGAACACCACACAGAGAUGGUACAACGUGGGCCAGAAGAUUCAUAAAACGCCUGGGCGACAACUUUAUGGAAUAAGUCCUAAGGGAGCUGACUCAGAAAGAUGUCCUUGAUCUGCAGCUGGUCAGCAGAGGGGAUCUUGUGAGUGAAGAGGACAAUGGGACUGUCUUGGCUGCAGCAACCAUGGAGCCAUUGAGUUUAAAAUCUUGGAUGACAGAAGCAAAAGUGCCAGCAAAACCUCAACUCCAGCCAUGAAGAGAGCAGACCCCAGGCUGCUCAGGGAAUUGGAGGAAGUUUGUGGCUCUUUGAGGGAAGAAGUAUCUUCAAAGGCUUUGGAGCUGGAGGUCUGUGUCUGCAAGAACAAGCCCUGACUGAUGAAACAUGAAACAACCCCAGAACCUUAUCUCUGUUCAAAUAACAUUAAAACAAUAAUAAAAGGACUUCUUGUUCAACAAAUUACAUUGGAAGAGGAAGGAAAAACAGCUCCCACUGAUGAAUGAGAGAAGGUGGGAACACAGACCUGAAGGGAGAUGGAGUGUACUCUCAGACAGAGUCCCUGGCUGGCAGACCCCUGUGACUACUGGCUGCAGCAUUUCUCUCGAGCUUUCCAUUUCCUGUGGAGACAAACAGAGGUUUUCACCCAAGGUGGUGUUCCAGUCAACUGGAGAGAAAGACUGCAGGAACAGACUGGACGCUCAGGUGAUCCCCAAAAUUAUAGGAUUAAUCUUCACUCAUGAUGGCUGUGUACACGCAGUGCUCAGAAAAUGUUCCUGCUUCUUCCUUGCAGCACAUUUCUGGACAGGAAAAGGACAAAAGGAAAAAGUUUUAUGGAGGAACGUGUGACUGAACAAAUUGACAGCCCAGGAAAGCAGCAAUAAGAUGGGAGUAGAUGUGGAUCUCAAGGAAAGACAGAAUAUUGUGAGUAGAUUAUUAUGGAGACUAUGACAAAUUUCUCAGCAAGUCAGUAGACAUUUGUAAGUUGUUAACUAGUGAUUAAAUAAUUAUUUUA